rnacentral:rRNA from 1 species
UACGAGUGCCCCGAGCGUUAUCCGGAAUCAUUGGGCGUAAAGGGUGUGUAGGUGGCAGUGUUAGUCUAUUGUUAAAACCUGGGGCUUAACCCCAGAUGUGCGAUAGAUACGGCACAGCUAGAGGAUGGCAGGGAUGUAUGGAACUCAUGGAGUAGGGGUGAAAUCCGUUGAUAUCAUGGGGAACACCAAAAGCGAAGGCAGUACAUUGGGCCACUCCUGACACUGAAACACGAAAGCGUGGGUGGCGAAUGGG